GGCCCGCUGGGUAUUUCAGCAACUCAUUGGAAUCUUCAAACAACAAAGAUAAACAAGUGUUCCAAUUAAGAAUUAAUUACUGCUCAGACACUCAACUGCUUCUGCUCACUCCGCUGGGAACAACUCAAACGAUGAGGAAACACACAUACACAGUGCAAGAACGAUAAGAUAGAGGGGUCACAUACAGAACACAUACAGAGGAAGAGUGUUGGGCCACAUCCGCAGGAAGUCCAGGACUCAAGCUUGGGCCUUCUUUCAUCUUCUGACCUUUUCUGCCGGGAAGUCUCUGGUGUCAGGCGUCUCUGUCUUUCUUUGCUGACAGGUUCUCACUGACUCUAACAAGCUCUAACUUUAAAAGAUGAAACAGCCAUUCAUUACUGUGAGAUGCUCCAUGGAGAGAGUGAGCUGAUGGCUGUGUGCUGGAAUCAUGUACCCCAGCAGGAGAGCCCGGAUCGGGGCUGUGAGAGUCACCUCUCCCCCCUGCUGGAGGCACAUGUCUCAUGGAGCUACAAACUGCGGGAGAAGAACACAUGACCUGACCUAUCAGCAGCUCAA